UCUAAUCUAUCUCCCUAUUUUAUUUAUUUUAUUAAUCUGUUCUAUUCUAUUCUGUUUCAAAUCAAACACUUUACUCAAACAAAGAAACAAACGACAUUCAAAAGCUUCUAAUAAAAAAAUCAUUGCAUUGGUACUACUGAAAAUAUUGACAUUUUUACAACAUUCAGCCCUGUGAUGUAACAAACCCGUUAUAAAUAACGUGUACACGUUAUGUUAACAUAACGUUUGAGUAUAACAGCCUGUAUAACGUGUUGCCAAAAAUUAGAUGUGAUGUAUCAUGUUUUUAACGUGCACGUUAUCCAGCAUGUUAUUUUCAAAACGUUAAAGUAUCGUCUUGCGCGACAAGAAUAACAGUAUACAGAAAUUGAAUACGUUAGAGGAAGACAGACAUAAACAUGCAGCGUGCAACGAAGUACGCAUCUUGUUCAUCGCACUCGCACAUCUGGCCUGGCACUUGCAACUUGCACCAAAACCAAGACGACUCAAGAUGUUAUUUGAAAUUCCCGGUCCUCGGUCCGUGAGGUGUUCUUUCUAUUGUGCAUUUUAUUUAUUUUUUGGUUGUCGUGUUAUGUUAUAAAAUGGCUCAACAAGGAUUGAAAUAAACUACAAAACGAACAUACAAAUGGAUUUACCCAAACUGGUCUCUAUAGUCUGUAUGUUUUCUUAAUUUAAGUAUACGAAUAAAAUGUUUUUGUUUACAAAUAACGUAACCUCAAAAAAUAAUACACUAUUUCUAAAAAAUAACUUUAACAAUCCUUCUAAUAGCAUCAUAUUAUUAUUUUAAUAACCCGACGUUUAUAAUCUGACAAAAUUCUGGACUAAAUUGUCCAUUUUUUAUAUUUAUUUAUUCUUUAUACUACACGUUAUUUUAUAACAAGAGGUUAAAUAGGUCCCGUUAAAAUGAACAUGUUAUGUUACCAGAUAACGUUUUUGAGAAACGUUAUUUGUCAUACAUCAAUUUGUAGAAUUUAACGUAAAUGCAGGAUAACGUGCACGUUAUUUAUAACGUGUUUGAUACAUCACAGGGGUGAUUUAUUCCAAGUUCCUUCAAUUUUUUUGAGGACAAGAAAAUUUUGCUUUCAAGAAAUUCACGAAUAGGCCGUUCCAAGAUGCUGUCAAAAUUAAAUCAAUAUGGCUACCGGAAGGCAAACAUUGAAUAUUAUUCUAUCAGGUUCUUAUGGUUUUAGAUCAUUUUAGUUGUUGUACAAAGAUUAAUUUAACAUUUUCUCUGGAAGUAUUAAUUUAGAAAGAUAAUAUGCCUCAUUGGUGUUGUGUUUUGAAGUGUGAAAUGCAAAGUAAUCGUGAUAAAGUUAGCUUUUACCACUUACCAUCAGUGCUACAUUCUAAGCACAAAACUGAACCAAUGUAACUAAAUAAGUUAUAGUUAUCAUCUGAGAGACAACAACAAUGGUAAAAUGCAAUAAAAUAUUAAGAUUUUACUAGCAAAAUGGAAAUUCCCCUGUAAUCAUCUUAUAUCUGGUAAGUUACAACAUUUGAACAUUAACCAUUUUUGAAGAUGUUAACAGUCUAAUCUUGUAGGAAAACCAGCCGACUUAACUGAUAAUAACAAUCCAGAUUGGGUUCCUUCAAUAAAUAUGGGGUAUAUAAACACAAUGAAAUGAGUUCCCCAAAAUCUAAAAUGGGAAUUAAGGUACCAAAGGAGAAUUAAAAGAAAAGGGUACCUACAAGAAAAAAUUGCUUUUUUAUUCCUCUUGAAAUGAUUUAUAAGACACUGGACUGUCUUAUAUUCUACAAAUACUAGAAUCAGCUGAGAGAAGUGGUCUACAAAAACCCAGGAAGGAAACGGAAUAUGUGGCUACGAAAGGCAAAAGAAAGGUUUACAAAGCAAAUGUGACACAUUUUUUUGAAAUAUUUAGGAAUAUCAGUAAAUUGCAUUAAAAAAAUGUAUGAAAAGAUUUUGUUCAAUAAAAAUGUUUAUAUUUA
rnacentral:lncRNA from 1 species